rnacentral:rRNA from 1 species
UGGGGAAUCUUGGACAAUGGGCGAAAGCCUGAUCCAGCAAUGCCGCGUGCAGGACGAAGGCCUUCGGGUUGUAAACUGCUUUUGUACGGAACGAAACGGUCUCUUCUAAUACAAGGGGCUAAUGACGGUACCGUAAGAAUAAGCACCGGCUAACUACGUGCCAGCAGCCGCGGUAAUACGUAGGGUGCGAGCGUUAAUCGGAAUUACUGGGCGUAAAGCGUGCGCAGGCGGUUAUAUAAGACAGAUGUGAAAUCCCCGGGCUCAACCUGGGACCUGCAUUUGUGACUGUAUAGCUAGAGUACGGUAGAGGGGGAUGGAAUUCCGCGUGUAGCAGUGAAAUGCGUAGAUAUGCGGAGGAACACCGAUGGCGAAGGCAAUCCCCUGGACCUGUACUGACGCUCAUGCACGAAAGCGUGGGGAGCAAACAGGAUUAGAUACCCCUGUAGUCCCUGAGCGGGCUGGCAAGGCGCAU